rnacentral:rRNA from 1 species
GAAUUUGCCUUUAGGAGGGGGACAACAACUGGAAACGGUUGCUAAUACCCCAUAUGCUUUCGAGUAAAACGGUUUUUCCGCCUAAAGAGAAGCUUGCGGCUGAUUAGCUUGUUGGUGAGGUAAUGGCUCACCAAGGCGACGAUCAGUAUCUGGUUUGAGAGGACGAUCAGACACACUGGAACUGAGACACGGUCCAGACUCCUACGGGAGGCAGCAGUGGGGAAUUUUCCGCAAUGGGCGAAAGCCUGACGGAGCAAUACCGCGUGAGGGAUGACGGCCUAUGGGUUGUAAACCUCUUUUUUCAGGGAGGAAUAAAUGACGUGUACCUGAGGAAUAAGCAUCGGCUAACUCCGUGCCAGCAGCCGCGGUAAGACGGAGGAUGCAAGUGUUAUCCGGAAUCACUGGGUGUAAAGCGUCUGUAGGUGGUCCAAUAAGUCAACUGUUAAAUCUUGAGGCUCAACCUCAAAAUCGCAGUCGAAACUAUUAGACUAGAGUAUAGUGGGGGUAAAGGGAAUCUCCAGUGGAGCGGUGAAAUGCGUAGAGAUUGGAAAGAACACCGAUGGCGAAGGCACUUUACUGGGCUAUUACUAACACUGAGAGACGAAAGCUAGGGUAGCAA